UAGCUCAGUUGGUAGAGCAUGGUGUUUGCAAUGCCAGGGUUGUGGGUUCAGUUCCCAC
rnacentral:tRNA from 1 species